rnacentral:rRNA from 1 species
ACGGAGGCAGCAGUGGGGAAUAUUGGGCAAUGGGGGAAACCCUGACCCAGCAACGCCGCGUGAAGGAAGAAGGCCUUCGGGUUGUAAACUUCUUUUACCAGGGACGAUAAUGACGGUACCUGGAGAAAAAGCAACGGCUAACUACGUGCCAGCAGCCGCGGUAAUACGUAGGUUGCAAGCGUUGUCCGGAUUUACUGGGUGUAAAGGGCGUGUAGGCGGAGCUGCAAGUCAGAUGUGAAAUCCCGGGGCUCAACCCCGGAACUGCAUUUGAAACUGUAGCCCUUGAGUAUCGGAGAGGCAAGCGGAAUUCCUAGUGUAGCGGUGAAAUGCGUAGAUAUUAGGAGGAACACCAGUGGCGAAGGCGGCUUGCUGGGCGACAACUGACGCUGAGGCGCGAAAGCGUGGGGAGCAAACAGGAUUAGAUACCCUGGUA